GAUGAACGCUGGCGGCGUGCCUAAUACAUGCAAGUCGAGCGAACGGACGAGAAGCUUGCUUCUCUGAUGUUAGCGGCGGACGGGUGAGUAACACGUGGAUAACCUACCUAUAAGACUGGGAUAACUUCGGGAAACCGGAGCUAAUACCGGAUAAUAUUUUGAACCGCAUGGUUCAAAAGUGAAAGACGGUCUUGCUGUCACUUAUAGAUGGAUCCGCGCUGCAUUAGCUAGUUGGUAAGGUAACGGCUUACCAAGGCAACGAUGCAUAGCCGACCUGAGAGGGUGAUCGGCCACACUGGAACUGAGACACGGUCCAGACUCCUACGGGAGGCAGCAGUAGGGAAUCUUCCGCAAUGGGCGAAAGCCUGACGGAGCAACGCCGCGUGAGUGAUGAAGGUCUUCGGAUCGUAAAACUCUGUUAUUAGGGAAGAACAUAUGUGUAAGUAACUGUGCACAUCUUGACGGUACCUAAUCAGAAAGCCACGGCUAACUACGUGCCAGCAGCCGCGGUAAUACGUAGGUGGCAAGCGUUAUCCGGAAUUAUUGGGCGUAAAGCGCGCGUAGGCGGUUUUUUAAGUCUGAUGUGAAAGCCCACGGCUUAACCGUGGAGGGUCAUUGGAAACUGGAAAACUUGAGUGCAGAAGAGGAAAGUGGAAUUCCAUGUGUAGCGGUGAAAUGCGCAGAGAUAUGGAGGAACACCAGUGGCGAAGGCGACUUUCUGGUCUGUAACUGACGCUGAUGUGCGAAAGCGUGGGGAUCAAACAGGAUUAGAUACCCUGGUAGUCCACGCCGUAAACGAUGAGUGCUAAGUGUUAGGGGGUUUCCGCCCCUUAGUGCUGCAGCUAACGCAUUAAGCACUCCGCCUGGGGAGUACGACCGCAAGGUUGAAACUCAAAGGAAUUGACGGGGACCCGCACAAGCGGUGGAGCAUGUGGUUUAAUUCGAAGCAACGCGAAGAACCUUACCAAAUCUUGACAUCCUUUGACAACUCUAGAGAUAGAGCCUUCCCCUUCGGGGGACAAAGUGACAGGUGGUGCAUGGUUGUCGUCAGCUCGUGUCGUGAGAUGUUGGGUUAAGUCCCGCAACGAGCGCAACCCUUAAGCUUAGUUGCCAUCAUUAAGUUGGGCACUCUAAGUUGACUGCCGGUGACAAACCGGAGGAAGGUGGGGAUGACGUCAAAUCAUCAUGCCCCUUAUGAUUUGGGCUACACACGUGCUACAAUGGACAAUACAAAGGGCAGCGAAACCGCGAGGUCAAGCAAAUCCCAUAAAGUUGUUCUCAGUUCGGAUUGUAGUCUGCAACUCGACUAUAUGAAGCUGGAAUCGCUAGUAAUCGUAGAUCAGCAUGCUACGGUGAAUACGUUCCCGGGUCU
rnacentral:rRNA from 1 species